rnacentral:rRNA from 1 species
GGGAUAGCCGCCCGAAAGGACGGGUAAUACCGGAUACCCCCGGGCGCCGCAUGGCGCCCGGGCUAAAGCCCCGACGGGAGGGGAUGGCUCCGCGGCCCAUCAGGUAGACGGCGGGGUGACGGCCCACCGUGCCGACAACGGGUAGCCGGGUUGAGAGACCGACCGGCCGGAUUGGGACUGAGACACGGCCCAGACUCCUACGGGAGGCAGCAGUGGGGAAUCUUGCGCAAUGGGGGGAACCCUGACGCAGCGACGCCGCGUGCGGGACGGAGGCCUUCGGGUCGUAAACCGCUUUCAGCAGGGAAGAGUCAAGACUGUACCUGCAGAAGAAGCCCCGGCUAACUACGUGCCAGCAGCCGCGGUAAUACGUAGGGGGCGAGCGUUAUCCGGAUUCAUUGGGCGUAAAGCGCGCGUAGGCGGCCCGGCAGGCCGGGGGUCGAAGCGGGGGGCUCAACCCCCCGAAGCCCCCGGAACCUCCGCGGCUUGGGUCCGGUAGGGGAGGGUGGAACACCCGGUGUAGCGGUGGAAUGCGCAGAUAUCGGGUGGAACACCGGUGGCGAAGGCGGCCCUCUGGGCCGAGACCGACGCUGAGGCGCGAAAGCUGGGGGAGCGAACAGGAUUAGAUACCCUGGUAGUCCCAGCCGUAAACGAUGGACGCUAGGUGUGGGGGGACGAUCCCCCCGUGCCGCAG